GGGGUCUGUCUGCAGCAAAAUUGUGAUGUAAGCAAAAUUGGUUUUGGCUCCCUCCCCACCCUUAGCCUUUUGACCUGUAGUGUCUUGAUUUUACAGAGUCCUCUAGAUGCUUUCCUUUAACCUAUCCUUUAUUUAUUUUUCAAGUAGGGUUUUUAGUUCUCUUUAUUUAUGCUCUCAUUCUUCAGAGAAAAUGUUCAUCUCAUCGAUUGGUUUGUGAUCGUAUGAGAAUGGGCCUUAAUUUGUUAAUGUUUUAUCACUUUCCGAGUAAUAUAUUUACAUUUAACGAGAAUUUGAGGGACAGCAACUUAAUACAAAAGGCAUUAACUUUUUAAUAGUAGGGAUCCUAGAUCCUGUGACAAGUUACUAGAUGUUGCCAAGAUUGCCAAUUACCUCCUCCAGCAUGUCUUCUCGCCUUCUUCCUCAGUGACAGAAUCUUGAUUUCAUUUGAAGUGAUAAUGCACCCAGAACAAAGAAUGCUACCAGUCUCCUUUGAAGCUAUGUUUGGCCAUAUGACUAAGUUCAGGCUUAUGACGUCAAGGACGAUAGGCCUGAGUGUGAAGUUAAGAGAAUGGAAGAGAAGAUAGACAAUGGAAUGCCAAUCUCAAAACAAAUCAUUGAAAAUUGAGAUGAAAAUGCCAAAUGUCUGCAUUCAUAUAAUGGAAAUAAUCGAGCUGUGGACAAUCAUCUAUGCUUUUGAUCAUUCUGGGAUUAGAGGAAUUCCUUACACUUAUGGAAUUCAACUGUGUCAAAAGAUGAGGAAUAAAAAAAUGAAUUUAAGUAAAAUGAGAACUUGUAUCCUAAAUUUGAACAGAACUCAAGGCCAACUUUUUGUAAUAAUAUUCUGACUGGGCUUUGUAACUGUGCUCUUUUACAGCCUCUUCUUUUUCUUCUGUCUUCUUCCCCGUCUUCUUUCUCAUUGGCCUCAGUUAAAACACACACACACACACAACAUCUAAAGGCCACAUAUAUGCUUUAGAUACGGUGCCAGGUUCUAGACAGAGCAAAAUGGGAGAGGAUAUGGGCCAUUUUCUUUUAGAACUUAACACGUUAAAAUCAUGUGUAAUGAGUGUGUGCAUUGAGUGAUAUACAGUCAGCUCUCCAUAUCCGUGGAUAAAAAGCAUAUGGAAAAACCACUGCAAAAAA